UUUGAAAAAGUUUCCAAUUUGGUAUAAAGCUUCCAUUUUUGGAAAUUUCCAAAAAUAAAAACAGAUUUUCCAAAAAUGGAAAAUCUGCUGCAGAAAACGCUCUCGGCCGGAAAUCGCCUUGAUUUUUGGUCCGGCCAUAUCUUCCUCCUCCGGCCACCGAUCCUCACCAAACUUCUUCCAUUGGCUUCGUAUGGUCCUUGCGCACCUGUCUGUGGCAGCCUUUCAUGGCGGCGCGGCCUGUAGCGGCGGCGGAAAGCUUGUUUCGAUUUAAGCCCGAUUUUGAGUCAACGCCGAUAUCUUGAGUUUCCGGCCACCUUUCUUUGUGAUUCUUGGCUUGAUGAACUCGCCUUGAGAUUCUGAACCAGUCUCCAGAAGGAAUCGAAGCGAGUGGUGGACGUUUUCACGCUGAUCGGAGCUCUCGCCGGAUUCUGGAAAAAUUCCGGCCACCGUGACUGAGUUUGGUGAUCGAUGGAUUUAUUUGGCGGACGAUUCGUGAGAUUGUUAAUUGAGCUGUUAAGAAGACGCAGCUGGAUCAGAGCGGAUAAUCCUACAGGACUGGAGAAUUCAGGAAGGUGAUCGAACCGUGUAGAGUAGCUGCUUUGUAAUACUCUGAUUUUCAGUUGUGAGGUUUGUUAUGCUCAUUAGAGCUUUACAAUUUACUUUGUACGAGUGAGUUGUAAUAAUUAACUCGAGGUCUUCGAGUUUUGAAUUUGAGCGUGAGUGGCGAGGUUGUUUCUGAGAAAAAAAAAAAUUCAGAACGUUUAUUUGUUUAAGUUGUUUAAUUCAUGUUUCGGAUUUGAAUUUGUUAUUCAAAAUUCGGGGCGUGACAGUUUGGUAUCAGAGCGUAAGGUGCAUAUUUGGUGAUGUGUCAAUACUUUCCGAGUGAUGGCCCGUCUGCAGCGGAUCCCCAUCGUGUGCUCUUCGGUAUUGGCUAAGUCAUUGGGUAUGCGUGAGUGUUGGGAGUUGUUUAGGCCGCUAGGUCGUUUUAGGAACG